CCCAGACUCCUACGGGAGGCAGCAGUGGGGGAUAUUGCAUAAUGGGGGGGACCCUGAUGCAGCGACGCCGCGUGGGUGAAGGAGCGUUUCGGCGCGUAAAGCCCUAUCGGCAGGGAAGAAGGAGGACGGUACCUGACUAAGAAGCCCCGACUAACUACGUGCCAGCAGCCGCGGUAAUACGUAGGGGGCAAGCGUUAUCCGGAUUUACUGGGUGUAAAGGGGGCGCAGACGGCAGCGCAAGCCAGGAGUGAAAGCCCGGGGCCCAACCCCGGGACUGCUCUUGGAACUGCGCGGCUGGAGUGCAGGAGGGGCAGGCGGAAUUCCUGGUGUAGCGGUGAAAUGCGUAGAUAUCAGGAGGAACACCGGUGGCGAAGGCGGCCUGCUGGACUGCGACUGACGUUGAGGCUCGAGAGCGUGGGGAGCAAACAGGAUUAGAUACCCGUGUAAG
rnacentral:rRNA from 1 species